rnacentral:rRNA from 1 species
GUGAACGCUGGCGGUAGGCCUAACCCCUGCAAGUCGAACGGCAGCACAGUAAGAGCUUGCUCUUCCGGGUGGCGAGUGGCGGACGGGUGAGGAAUACAUCGGAAUCUACUUUUUCGUGGGGGAUAACGUAGGGAAACUUACGCUAAUACCGCAUACGACCUACGGGUGAAAGCAGGGGAUCUUCGGACCUUGCGCGAUUGAAUGAGCCGAUGUCGGAUUAGCUAGUUGGCGGGGUAAAGGCCCACCAAGGCGACGAUCCGUAGCUGGUCUGAGAGGAUGAUCAGCCACACUGGAACUGAGACACGGUCCAGACUCCUACGGGAGGCAGCAGUGGGGAAUAUUGGACAAUGGGCGCAAGCCUGAUCCAGCCAUACCGCGUGGGUGAAGAAGGCCUUCGGGUUGUAAAGCCCUUUUGUUGGGAAAGAAAAGCAGCAGGUUAAUACCCCGCUGUUCUGACGGUACCCAAAGAAUAAGCACCGGCUAACUUCGUG